CUAAACGGCUAAACCGUAUUUUUCUGCUCUCUCUCUCUCUCCCACUCUCCUCACUCUGAAACUGUACGAAUCUUUCAAAUUUCAAUUGGUUUAUGAAGAAAGCCCAGAAGCUACAACUUGAAGGCACCAAUCAAAGAACACAGGGAUCUCUUUUAGUCGGUGUACGUAUGUGAAGAACUCUUGAAUCUCCCGUCAUAGACACGUACAAUAAUUGGAGAUAAUUACAUAUCGGCAUCAUCUGAAGCACCGGGGCAUCUCAUAGAAUUCCAAUCCUCCUUCAAAAGGGUCUGUGAAUCUUUCCCAGUAUUAUUAGCCUUUGAUGAAGAUGUUGUUGAUCUCGACUUACUGAAUGAGCUAGGAGAUAUACAAAGAUUAGCCUUUUCUACUUUCCAGAGGAUGGAUCAGGAGAUUCCUCAAUGAUCAUGAAAUUGUUCCACAGAUCAUAGGGCUUUCUAUGGGAAGUCAAGUAGAACAUUAACUGAUACGACUCUUCUAAAACUUCUAACUUUGUUACUAUUGGUAUUAAGGUGUGAGUGUGAAGUGAGAGAGCCAGUAAUCUAGGAGUGAAGGAGAAUACUUAAUCUGUGAAUUUUUUCUAUUGGAUCCUUUUUGUAAUGAAACUGUGAACUUCAUUUGAUUUAUGUUAGUUGUUAGUUUCGUUAAAAAAAAAAAAAAA